UGGGGGAUAUUGCACAAUGGGCGAAAGCCUGAUGCAGCGACGCCGCGUGGGGGAUGAAGGCCUUCGGGUUGUAAACUUCUCUUGCUCUGAACAAGGCAUGCUAAUGGGUGUGUUGAGUGUAGGGGUUGAUUAGCGCCGGCUAACUACGUGCCAGCAGCCGCGGUAAUACGUAGGGCGCGAGCGUUGUCCGGAAUUAUUGGGCGUAAAGGGCUUGUAGGUGGCUGGUUGCGUCUGUCGUGAAAGCUCAUGGCUUAACUGUGGGUUUGCGGUGGGUACGGGCUGGCUUGAGUGCAGUAGGGGAGGCUGGAAUUCCUGGUGUAGCGGUGGAAUGCGCAGAUAUCAGGAGGAAGACCGGUGGCGAAGGCGGGUCUCUGGGCUGUUACUGACACUGAGGAGCGAAAGCAUGGGGAGCGAACAGG
rnacentral:rRNA from 1 species